rnacentral:lncRNA from 1 species
UCUUGCUAUUGCUGAAUACUGUGCAAUUGAAAAUUUCUUGCUAUUGCACAAUACUUAAUAUAAUAAUUUUGGAUCCUGAUUUGAACCAACUUGAAAACUGGGCCCAUAAUCAAAAAUCUAAGUACAUGUUUAGAUUCAGCAUAUCAAAAAAAGCCCAAGAAUUCAAUUUUUGUUAAAAUCAAACUUAGUUUAAUUUUGGACCCUUUGGACUUUAAUGUAGACCAAUUUGAAAACGGGACCAAAAAUUAAGAAUCUACAUACACAGUUAGAUUUGGCAUAUCA